rnacentral:lncRNA from 1 species
CCUUUCUUUUUUUCAGGCCAGGAUGGCCUUGAAGUUAUGAUCCUCCAGAGAUGCUGGGAUUACAGGAGUACGCCACCAUACUUGGUUUAAAAUUAUUUAUUUAUGUAUGUGUGUAUUUAUUUAUCUAUCUAUCUAUCUGCCUAUUUGGGUCUGGAGAUUGAACCCAGGGCCUUGUGCAAGCUAAACAAAUGUUCUGCCGCUGGGCUACAACCCUAACUAUUAACAAUCACAUUUUAAAUGUAUUGACUAGAGGUUAGAGCCAGAGGUUUUUUGCUACCUUGCAAGUUUACUAAUCAGAGAACUUCCCUCAGGUGUCUCAAGUCUUUAAUUUCAACUACCUGUGUUUUGAAACUCUAUAAGAACCUGAAAAGCUACAAGCUCUCUCACCUUCUAAGCUUGCACGUAAUUUAAAUGAUUCAUGCACCUCCUGAUGCCAAUUCAUGACCCUUUUAGGAUCCCAUGAACCUUUUUAUGAAAACCUGUAUUUUACAUGGAUUAGGCAUGGUGAUAAAAUACAAACUAGCUAUAAUAACAAUACAAAUAUUUGCUAAUCAAUUUUAAGUGCUAGGUGAGUAUAACUCAACAGAUCUUUACAAUAGUUCUAUGGGAUAAGUAGCAUAAUUGUUCUCAUUUCAUUGAUGGUAAAUCUGAGAUGCAUUGUUGUAUUUAUUCCUACUUUGUAAUUUAGAGAAGUAAAAUGAUUUACUGAAGGUUAUAUGGCAAUAAGUGGAUGAAUUUGAGUUUCAUAGCCCCUUUUGUUUUUUCUCUUUCUCUGUGCUGGGGGUGUCAGGGGAGGGGAUUGUAACCUGGGCCUUAGCACAUGGUAAGCAAGUGCUCUGCCACUGAGCUACAUCCCCAGCACUUUUUACCUUAUCUUGAGACAGGAUCUUGCUGAGGUUUCCAGGAUGGCCUUGAACUGAAACAGCUCCUGAACGUUGUCCUGCUAAGAAAAAAAUUACCCCCUUGCCUGCAUGGUACCAAGAAAGCUGAAACUGGCAUGUCCUCUGGCCCGCAUAGCCUAAGUAAAUCUACAUAUUUUUAUUACCUGGCUUUUGUUUCUGGAAAUUGUAACCACUUUUGUAGGAUUAGCAGAGAAGUAAUGUAGCUGCUUCUCCCCAGUUUGGCCAAACUGCAUGAAAUUCCUUUUCCCUUUUAAUGUUGUUUACUUAUUUCCAAUGUGGAUGGACAGCUAAAUUUAACCAACUGGGAUCCAAACAGGGUCCUUGACUUGACUGGAGUAACAGAAUUUGUAAUCCUCGUGCCUCCACUUCUUAAAUAGCUGGGAUUACAUGUGUGUGCCUCCAGGCCUGGUUUAUGGAUUCUUUAAAUGUCUAAUUAAACUUCUAAUGUGCUGUCUUUUGUACUUUUAAAAAUGAAAGUGAAAUUUAAGGUCCUCCAAUUUAUUUUCUUCUCAUUUUUAUUUUAUCUAUCUAUCUAUCUAUCUAUCUAUCUAUUUAUUUUUGC